CGCGCCACACACACAAUCGUCAAAUUCGCGUUUCAAUCUCAGUGACUCGAUAAUGGAAGAAAUUACAGAGGUAGUUGAAGAUUCUCAAAUGGACUUAGAUCAUCAUCGCCAACAAGAUCAACAGAAGGAAGAGGAAGAUCCUUUUCUCAAUUUUGUCGAUCAAGCAAAAUUGAAGCUAUUACUCCUGCAAUUUUGCUCUCUGAACUCUCUCAGGGAUCGAGUGACCAACGUAGGGUUGCUGUACCGAAGAAGAUACUUGAAUUAAUUAACAUUCUCAAGAAAAAUAAUCGGAGGAUAAAGUUUCCAAACACCGUUACCAUUGAUUCCAUUUACGAGAAAAAGUUCAUUGCCUUGAACAGUGUGAUCUGGAAGCUGUUAUUAUUGAUGCAUAUGUGUACUUCCAGGUUCAUUGAGAAAUGAGAAGCUAUUGAAUAUUGACAUUCACUCAGGCACAAACAUCCACAUGCUUACAUCAGGGGAUUAUUGGAGCUCUAAUAUCAUAGAUCUCUAUCUACAC